rnacentral:rRNA from 1 species
AUUGAACGCUGGCGGCAUGCCUUACACAUGCAAGUCGAACGGCAGCGGGGGAGAAGCUUGCUUUUCCUGCCGGCGAGUGGCGAACGGGUGAGUAAUACAUCGGAACGUGCCCUGUAGUGGGGGAUAACUAGUCGAAAGAUUAGCUAAUACCGCAUACGACCUGAGGGUGAAAGUGGGGGACCGCAAGGCCUCAUGCUAUAGGAGCGGCCGAUGUCUGAUUAGCUAGUUGGUGGGGUAAAGGCCUACCAAGGCGACGAUAAGUAGCUGGUCUGGAAGGACGAUCAGCCACACUGGGACUGAGACACGGCCCAGACUCCUACGGGAGGCAGCAGUGGGGAAUUUUGGACAAUGGGCGAAAGCCUGAUCCAGCAGUGCCGCGUGUGUGAAGAAGGCCUUCGGGUUGUAAAGCACUUUUGUCCGGAAAGAAAUGGCUCUGGUUAAUACCUGGGGUCGAUGACGGUACCGGAAGAAUAAGGACCGGCUAACUACGUGCCAGCAGCCGCCGUAA